AGCAGAAGGCAAAAGAACACUUCAACGCAUUCACAAAUCUUGGCCAAAAAUCAUCUCAAAAUUUCAUCUCAAGUGUUUGGAUAGCUACAGUAUGGAGCAUUUGGAAAGUAAGGAACGAAGGAGUUUUCAGCGGAGUCAAGUGGAAUAAAGGAAAUCAAGUAGCCGAGAUUAAGUCACGACUGUGGAGUUGGAAGCAAGUAUACAAAACAGAGGCUCCUCCUUUAGACUUCAAAGCAUGGAUGCAACAUGUCCCUUUUUAGAGUUUUUGACUCUUGUUUUUAGCCUGGUUUUCGGUUGUUUUUUUGUUGGUUUUGUGCAUUGAGUUCGCCUAGGGCAUACAUGUUUUUUAUUCU
rnacentral:lncRNA from 1 species